ACUUUUGGUUUCAUCAAUAAUUUCUUCAACUUUAACAACCACUAAUAACCACUCAAUCUUUUGUUAUUUACUAACAAAACAACACCUUCUCAGCUUUCACUUAUUCUAAUUCAUUUUAAAUCAAUCAAAAUGGAGAUUUCUGUAACGCUCCAAUAGUCCCACAUUGGAUGGGAUACUGAUUUCGAUCGGUUUAUAUGAGAUCUACACGCUAAUAAUAAUAACUGGGCUUAAGCAUUUUGGGCUGGUGGUUUGGGUCAAACGAGUUAUUGUUGCUAGCGGGUCGGGUCGUUGCAAUUGGUAUCAGAGACGAAUAUCAGCUGGAAGUGUGAGAACUAAGUGCUAUGCGGGACAAAGUGCUACACCAACGAGUUUGGUGGCAGCCACAUCUUGAACCCGUAGGAGUCACCUCUAGAAUCUCACAUCGCCUGGUAAUUGUCUGUGAUCUGGUUUGGACCCGACGAGGACGUCAGAGUCUAAAUAUGGAGAGUUUGUAACCCCCCAAUAGUCCCACAUCGAAUGGGAUACUGAUACUAGCGUGUAGGCCUCAUAUAAACCGAUUGAAAUCAGUUUUACGGGGGCGUUACAAUUUCAAUAAAUCAACAGUUGUUCUGAAUGACAUAACAGACGCUAUUCGCUUUUCAAUUGAAAGAACUAAUACAAUCGCAAAUUUUUUUUAAACAAAAUUC
rnacentral:lncRNA from 1 species